rfam:Cajanus cajan Scaffold137265_1, whole genome shotgun sequence.
GGUGGAGAGUUCCAAAGGGAUCGCAUUGAUCUAAUUCUUGAAGUUUCUGGAUUUAGCUUCGGUUCACAGCUUCACUUAUUGGAUCAUGUGAUCCCUUAGGAACUUUCCAU